GCUUGUUGCGGCAACACGUAUACUAAAAUUGGAAUGAUACGGAGAAGGUGAGCACGGCUCUUGCACAGGAUGACAGGCAAAUUUGUGAGGCAUUCCAUAUUGUU